rnacentral:tRNA from 1 species
AAUAAAGUGCCUGAUAAAAAAAAGGAUUAUUUUGAUAGAAUAAAACAUGUAGUUGAACUACCUUUAUUA